GGAGAGGUGUCCGAGUGGUCGAAGGUGCCUGACUCGAAAUCAGGUGUGGCGAGAGUCACCGUGGGUUCGAAUCCCACCCUCUCCG
rnacentral:tRNA from 1 species